AUAGAAAGCCAGGAAGCCCCAGAGAAGUCAGGUGCGGGGCCAUGUAACAGCUGUUUAGUGACUACUACCAUCAGAGAUACAGUCCUUUAUUCAGUGCAGCCAUAGACACGACUCUACCAGGACUUUAGUUUCAUAGCUGGCACACAAGAUUGGAGCAAGAGCAAGGUGGCAGAACAGGGAGAAGGGAAUCUCUCCUCACCACGUUUCACAGCUGAAAUUUCCAUUUACGACUCUAUUCUGAACACAGUGCUCUAAUGGGAAGAAAAUGGGAAUUUGUUGCAGACAAUCAUGCUGUGCUCCAGCAGCAGCUUCCCUCGGGGUGGGAUGCUGGCCAUGCUGACUGUGAUGGCAAAGCUCCCCUCAGCUUCAACAGAGCCAGAAUUUCAGCUGCUCUGUCCCACAUUGGAAGCUCUGAACCACACAGAAUAACCUGGGCUUUCGAAACCAGAGUUACUAUUAUUUGCUUUUAAUGCUUAUACUCCAAUUACUUCUUCCAUCUAUGUUGAUUCAAAACCUGAAAUUUCUAACUAAUGGCCUACUUCCUCUCUAUGCUUACGUACAUAAACAUAAAUACUGUAUUUUUCCAUUCAAGGACUGCAUUUAUUUUUUCCGAUAGCAUCAUCUUUGAUGGCUUUAUGAAAUUAAUAAUCCCAUACAAAGAAAACAAAAAUAUUUUCCUGUGAAUAACUUCCAUCUCUCAGUAGAAUAUUUAAAUCAAUUUGACGCUUCACCUCAAGUCAGACAUUCCAUCUUGUGACAUAUGGCCAAGCACCUCCAACGCAGCUGGGAGCACGCGUUCUCACAUGACAAAUCUGCAUAACAGGCUCUGAAAGAGAGCAAACACGUCUAAAUCGGGGAAAUCACAGCUCCUGACCUGGAAGAAGGCAUACAGUGCCAUUAACUCAAUAACACCUACAGAUAUCCUCUGCCCUUGGGGAGAAACCAAGAGACACCUGCAGGCUCCAGGGAUGAAGACGGCUUUGGGGCAUGGUGACCUCUGCUUGAAGUUCAAGAGCAAAGCAAAUCCUGCACAUGAAAACCAGACCAAUCUCUAUGAAAAAGGGGGCAUGAACCAGCUGGGCUCACAUGAUGAGCACUAUUUUGUGGCUAGCAAGAAAUCUCUGUGUUUUGGGGUCUCUUUCCUCGUUGCUGGUUUCCUAGUGGAAAGAGGAUAUAUCAUUCAAUUCUCUCCCUGUUUGGCAAUAAAACAUGCUCACAUGCCC
ensembl:lncRNA